rnacentral:rRNA from 1 species
GAUGAACGCUGGCGGCGUGCCUAAUACAUGCAAGUCGAGCGAACAGACGAGGAGCUUGCUCCUCUGACGUUAGCGGCGGACGGGUGAGUAACACGUGGAUAACCUACCUAUAAGACUGGGAUAACUUCGGGAAACCGGAGCUAAUACCGGAUAAUAUAUUGAACCGCAUGGUUCAAUAGUGAAAGACGGUUUUGCUGUCACUUAUAGAUGGAUCCGCGCCGCAUUAGCUAGUUGGUAAGGUAACGGCUUACCAAGGCGACGAUGCGUAGCCGACCUGAGAGGGUGAUCGGCCACACUGGAACUGAGACACGGUCCAGACUCCUAAGGGAGGCAGCAGUAGGGAAUCUUCCGCAAUGGGCGAAAGCCUGACGGAGAAACGCCGCGUGAGUGAUGAAGGUCUUCGGAUCGUAAAACUCUGUUAUUAGGGAAGAACAAAUGUGUAAGUAACUAUGCACGUCUUGACGGUACCUAAUCAGAAAGCCACGGCUAACUACGUG